CAUCUGUGUAUGCAGCUGCUUAUGCUUAUUUGUGCCUGUCCUGACGUGUUUCUAUUGAUUUAAGUGUUUGAGAUGAUAACACCCUUACUUAUCACUGUAAUGUAUUAUUCAUUUGAGAUGGUUUCUACUUUGUGUUAAGAUCACCUGGAAAAUGUACCAGGGACUUAGUGCCGGGAUUAGUCUGAACGUACAUCUUUCAUUGCUACCAAUAGGUUUAUGAAGUAGACCUGGAGAUUGUUUUGGCAAAAUCACAAUUCAGAUGAAUUUGGGCUAAUUGGCAAUUUGCCUGAACAAACUAACUCCAAGCUGCCACAUGCCCUAGUCCUGUAGCAACUGAAAUGGCCAAAUGGCUAAACUGUUUCAAUUGGUCAAUUGGACUAGCAGCCAGUGAGAAAAUAGUUUAAAACUGCCUGUGAUGGUCACUAUGACCCCCAAACUAACACAAGGGAAUUUAACUUACCUGCCCCAUGCCCCCAUGCCUGAGAAACCAUGCAAAGUUACUGGUCCAAAGAUCACAAGAGUUUAUACAGCCCAGGCCCUUGCAAUAGUUUUGAUAAUGUGCACUGUGUCAGGCGAGAUGCCAACACUAAUAAGAGGAUACAAGAAAUGAAGGUCACGGCUUGCGUCACUUUAGGUUAGUUGGAGCCAGAAUGACUUGCCUUCAACCUAGUAAAAAUGGCUCAAUAACUCAAUACUGUUGUGAUCGCGGCUAAAUCUAUGCAGCUGCGUCAAAAUGAAUUCAAGCUUGCUGAAUUGAUGUGAUUGUGCCAAAAUUGGAGUUAAGUUACUGAAUUGACUCAGCUGGAAUGUUUACCCUAGGACAGACAUAGUAAACCUUCGGCACUCCAGGUGUUUUGGACUACACCUCCCACGAUGCUUUGCCAGCAUUAUGGAUCUAAAAGCAUUAGGGGAGAUGUAGUCCACAACAUCUGGAGUGCUGAAGGUUUCAACCCCUGCCCUAAGACCAUGGUAAAAUUGUUGCAAUUGUGUCAGAACAGGUGAGUCUCCUUAUCAUUAGCUAGUAUUAAUUAAUGUGUGCUAUCAUAUGAAUUGUCUCCUUUCAUUAUAUUGCUAUAUCAAUAACUUCAAUCAUCUGAGUAUCUGAAUGUAGCUGCUUAGCGCCUAGGGCCGAAUCCAUGGGAAAAUCAGUUCCUAUGUUUAUGGUGAAUUUAUUUCUACUUUAGGACUCCUGACACAUUACUCUCUGUCAAAUAGGUGCUUGUUAUUACCUCUCAGGACUUAUACGCGCAGGAAGGUCUUUGAAUUACAUUUGAAAGAAAGACCAACAUUUGUAAGACGAAAGGUUUGCGUGUGUUCUGCAAAGUAUUACUGCUCUGAUAUAG